GCUUGUCUCAAAGAUUAAGCCAUGCAUGUCUAAGUGUAAAUACGUCUACACUGUGAAACUGCGAAUGGCUCAUUAAAUCAGUUAUCGUUUAUUUGAUGAUCUCUUGUUACAUGGAUAACCGUAGUAAUUCUAGAGCUAAUACAUGCGUCAAGCCCCGACUUCGGAAGGGGUGUAUUUAUUAGAUUCAAAACCAACCGUGUAAAAGCGUACCUUGGUGAUUCAUAAUAACUUGUCGAACCGCACGCCCUUGAGGCAGCGGUGAUUCAUUCAAAUUUCUGCCCUAUCAGCUUUCGAUGGUAGGAUCGAGGCCUACCAUGGCGUUUACGGGUAACGGAGAAUUAGGGUUCGAUUCCGGAGAGGGAGCCUGAGAGAUGGCUACCACAUCCAAGGAAGGCAGCAGG
rnacentral:rRNA from 1 species